AUAGUCAUCUGGCAGGAGAGACGCUGUGAUCACAAAUGUUGUUUUCCCAGGGCAAGGCUUAUCCCUUACACACAGGAUGUGCUGAGCCCUGUGAUUUCCCAAAUGUAAAAAACCCAACUUUUUGUUGUAGUAGGGUACUGUGUUCACACUGUCCUCUG
ensembl:snRNA U1 U1 spliceosomal RNA